rnacentral:tRNA from 1 species
GGCCUUAUCGUCCAGCGGUCAGGACAGAAGAUGUUCACUCUUCAGAGCGCGGUUCGAGUCCGCGUAAGGUCGCCA